rnacentral:rRNA from 1 species
UACGUAGGUGACAAGCGUUGUCCGGAUUUACUGGGCGUAAAGAGCGCGCAGGCGGUCGAUCAAGUCGAGUGUGAAAGCCCCGGCUCAACUGGGGAGGGUCAUUCGAUACUGAUCGACUCGAAGGCAGGAGAGGGUAGUGGAAUUCCCGGUGUAGUGGUGAAAUGCGUAGAUAUCGGGAGGAACACCAGUGGCGAAGGCGACUUCCUGGCCUGUUCUUGACGCUGAGGCGCGAAAGCUAGGGUAGCGAACGGG